ACAAAACUAUUACAACACGGUUGUUGUUGAUUGGUAACGAAAAUAUUAAGAGCAGUUUUCUUUUGUGUUUUGGCCACGUAUAUAAAGGGCACGUAGUCUUUUCGGCUUGAAAUUACAUUGAGUGGUAAUUUGCAGGCCUUAAGAAACAUCCGAUUUCAGGGGACACACUUUUUAAUUGAAAUGUUAUCUUUAACAACUCCUAAACAAAACAAAAAACCUGAUGGGGGGAGAGCUAAGAAUUUUGGUAACAUUAUAAUA